rnacentral:rRNA from 1 species
UACGUAGGGUGCAAGCGUUGUCCGGAAUUAUUGGGCGUAAAGAGCUCGUAGGCGGUUUGUUGCGUCGGCUGUGAAAUCCCGAGGCUCAACCUCGGGUCUGCAGUCGAUACGAGCAAACUAGAGUGUUGCAGGGGAGACUGGAAUUCCUGGUGUAGCGGUGAAAUGCGCAGAUAUCAGGAGGAACACCGGUGGCGAAGGCGGGUCUCUGGGCCAAUACUGACGCUGAGGAGCGAAAGCGUGGGGAGCGAACAGG